AGCUCUGAGAUAAAUUACUCCCAUUUGCACAUGACGAUACUGGGAUACAGAGAAGUCAAGUUAACUUCUCCAUGCUCUCCCAGUCACUGCAGGACUGAGCUCAGACUGCUGACCCUUCCAUGCAUCUUGCAGCUUCUUCAGCCUUCUUAGUAGAGUCUUCACAUUAACCAAUAUUGUUCCAUCCUUGCAUCCCUGGAAUGAAUCCCACUUGGUCAUGGAAACUAGUCAUUCUUCAUUCUUGCUCAGUGUAACCCAGAUGGAUUGAACCCAGCAUGGCUCCAGGGUGGGCACGUGAACCAAGUCUUGCCAAUUAGUUAUUACACACCCUAGGAGAG